UACGGAGGGGGCUAGCGUUGUUCGGAAUUACUGGGCGUAAAGCGCGCGUAGGCGGACCUGCAAGUCGGGGGUGAAAGCCCGAGGCUCAACCUCGGAACUGCCUUCGAUACUGCGGGUCUCGAGUCCGGGAGAGGUGAGUCGGAAUUCCGUAAGUGUAGAGGGUGAAAUUCGUAGAUAUUAGGAAGAACACCAGUGGCGAAGGCGGCUCUCUGGGACGGUACUGACGCUGAGACGCGAAAGCGUGGGGAGCGAACGAGG
rnacentral:rRNA from 1 species